UACUCCUACGGGAGGCAGCAGUGGGGAAUUUUGGACAAUGGGCGCAAGCCUGAUCCAGCCAUGCCGCGUGCGGGAAGAAGGCCUUCGGGUUGUAAACCGCUUUUGUCAGGGAAGAAAUCCUUUGGGUUAAUACCUCGGAGGGAUGACGGUACCUGAAGAAUAAGCACCGGCUAACUACGUGCCAGCAGCCGCGGUAAUACGUAGGGUGCGAGCGUUAAUCGGAAUUACUGGGCGUAAAGCGUGCGCAGGCGGUCUUGCAAGACAGGUGUGAAAUCCCCGGGCUUAACCUGGGAACUGCACUUGUGACUGCAAGGCUGGAGUACGGCAGAGGGGGAUGGAAUUCCGCGUGUAGCAGUGAAAUGCGUAGAUAUGCGGAGGAACACCGAUGGCGAAGGCAAUCCCCUGGGCCUGUACUGACGCUCAUGCACGAAAGCGUGGGGAGCAAACAGGAUAGAUACCCUGGUAGUCCACGCCCUAAACGAUGUCAACUGGUUGUUGGACGGCUUGCUGUUCAGUAACGAAGCUAACGCGUGAAGUUGACCGCCUGGGGAGUACGGCCGCAGGUUGAAACUCAAAUGAAUUGACGG
rnacentral:rRNA from 1 species